rnacentral:rRNA from 1 species
CGGGGUGAGUAACACUGGAUAACCUACCUAUAAGACUGGGAUAACUUCGGGAAACCGGAGCUAAUACCGGAUAACAUGUUGAACCGCAUGGUUCAACAGUGAAAGACGGUCUUGCUGUCACUUAUAGAUGGAUCCGCGUUGCAUUAGCUAGUUGGUAAGGUAACGGCUUACCAAGGCAACGAUGCGUAGCCGACCUGAGAGGGUGAUCGGCCACACUGGAACUGAGACACGGUCCAG